GAAGACAGAAGUUUGUUUGGCAGGAGCCGUUCACUGCUGCUGACAGCGAUCAGCUGAUGGCUGAACUGAGCGAGAGAUGCGUUUCACUCAGACACACACAGCAGGUGGUUGUAAGCCAUGACCUUGCUGCUGUUACUGCGUCUUCUGUAACUGGAGCAUACUAAACACUUGCAAAAUCGAAGAGUGGAGAUGAGCCUUGAGCCCGGCAGUCCUCCUUCAUAGAUCUGAAUUUGCCUGAUCAGCUGCCGGAUACCUUAUCUACCUAUGUCCCACCUUCAGAGAUAUUCAGGUGGUGGUUGGCCAGAAUAUGAUCUAGCCAAAACAACUGCCAGAGACAAAUUGUUUGUGGCCUUACCUGAAGGCCUGAUUAGUGGCCAGUUCAGUACUGCAGAUGAUGAGGUCAAAAGAUUUGAAGCUAGAACCAAGGAAAAAAUAAAGUCUUUACCCCAAGUUUAAUGCAUCUAUGUUGCCUCUUCCGCUUUGGAGAAAGCUUCAAAAGGCCUUGAACCCAGGAGCGGAGUCCUCAGAAGAAGACCAGACCCCGGCGAGGUCAGACACCUGGGUCCUUACCAGACGCCACUGUCCCCUCUCCCCUCCUCCUGGGCCUGGCUUUCCUAUGCUUUGGGAAGCCCAAGUAUAUUAUAAAACUCCAUAGUGCCGAGACAUCACGGAGAAGAAUUCCAGCCUCAUACAUAAGACAAACGCUGUGCUUGGCUGUGGUAGAAAUUGGAAAUCCCUCGAAGCUUGCAAUUUUGAUCCGUUGUGCAAUUUUCCUAAAACGCUGUGGCUGGACUGCUCCCUCCAUGUGCUCGGGUGGACUGAAAGGCGGUCCCUGCCCCUUGUGUUCCAGGACCUCUGUAAAUUUCU